GAUCCUGGCUCAGAUUGAACGCUGGCGGCAGGCUUAACACAUGCAAGUCGAGCGGAAACGAUGAUAGCUUGCUAUCAGGCGUCGAGCGGCGGACGGGUGAGUAAUACUUAGGAAUCUACCUAGUAGUGGGGGAUAGCUCGGGGAAACUCGAAUUAAUACCGCAUACGACCUACGGGAGAAAGGGGGCAACUUGUUGCUCUCGCUAUUAGAUGAGCCUAAGUCGGAUUAGCUAGAUGGUGGGGUAAAGGCCUACCAUGGCGACGAUCUGUAGCUGGUCUGAGAGGAUGAUCAGCCACACCGGGACUGAGACACGG
rnacentral:rRNA from 1 species